rnacentral:pre_miRNA from 1 species
AGCCUUCUGUAUGCGUGAUGAGAUUUCGUCACACACCAGACCACAAGGGCUGAUGAUC